rnacentral:rRNA from 1 species
CCUACGGGCGGCUGCAGUGGGGAAUAUUGGACAAUGGGCGAAAGCCUGAUCCAGCCAUGCCGCGUGUGUGAAGAAGGCCUUCGGGUUGUAAAGCACUUUCAGUGGGGAAGAAAGCCUUGGGGCUAAUACCCUCGAGGAAGGACAUCACCCACAGAAGAAGCACCGGCUAACUCCGUGCCAGCAGCCGCGGUAAUACGGAGGGUGCGAGCGUUAAUCGGAAUUACUGGGCGUAAAGCGCGCGUAGGCGGUCUGAUAAGCCGGUUGUGAAAGCCCCGGGCUCAACCUGGGAACGGCAUCCGGAACUGUCAGGAUAGAGUGCAGGAGAGGAAGGUAGAAUUCCCGGUGUAGCGGUGAAAUGCGUAGAGAUCGGGAGGAAUACCAGUGGCGAAGGCGGCCUUCUGGACUGACACUGACGCUGAGGUGCGAAAGCGUGGGUAGCAAACAGGAUUAGAUACCCGAGUAGUC